CCUACGGGUGGCUGCAGUGGGGAAUAUUGGACAAUGGGGGGAACCCUGAUCCAGCGACGCAGCGUGAGUGAAGAAGUAUUUAGGUAUGGAAAGCUCUAUCAGCAGGGAAGAAAGAAAUGACGGUACCUGACUAAGAAGCCCCGGCUAACUACGUGCCAGCAGCCGCGGUAAUACGUAGGGGGCAAGCGUUAUCCGGAUUUACUGGGUGUAAAGGGAGCGUAGACGGCGAUGCAAGUCUGAAGUGAAAGGCGGGGGCUCAACCCCCGGACUGCUUUGGAAACUGGAUGGCUGGAGUGCAGGAGAGGUAAGUGGAAUUCCUAGUGUAGCGGUGAAAUGCGUAGAUAUUAGGAGGAACACCAGUGGCGAAGGCGGCUUACUGGACUGUAACUGACGUUGAGGCUCGAAAGCGUGGGGAGCAAACAGGAUUAGAUACCCCUGUAGUC
rnacentral:rRNA from 1 species